CGAAGCGGUCCUUAUCAAAACCAUCCAGUAUGGCUGUACAGGCAUUAAUUCAAUUUAGUUCAUAUAUCAAACAGAACUAUUGCAAUUAUAAGUGACAAAAUUCAGCUCUAAUCAGCUUAAUCAAAAAUGGAAAAGGAAUGCUUCACAUGCCUAGGAAGUCCAGAGGUGGACCGGCGCCAGGCAUGACUGGACGCAGAUCAGCCUGUGGAAUUAUUCAAACUAAUCACAUCCUCCUGUGGGAACGAGUAUCCUCCUGAUACUACAAAGCCUGCCUCCCAUAGUCCCUGGUGUUCACUCUGUCCCCAGGUGCCACCUCCAUGUGGCCUGUGUGGCCUACAGUGUCCUCUUCCACCGGCUGUGAGUAUGUGUGACUGCGAAACUGUUGUCCAUCUCUUCUGUCAGUUUCAUUGUCUUGUGUUUGGCCAUCCUCAUAACUUGAGGGUGGGAAUCCUCCCUCACCAGUGGGGUGAAUAAGAGGCAAUUAAAACAGGAGGAUACCUCUAAAAAUCAGGGGUUAAUUCCACAGAAGGAUGAAUGAAUGCUGGUAGAGCCGUAAAUCACUAAAGUUAAUUUCAAUUUAG
rnacentral:lncRNA from 1 species